AACGAACGCUGGCGGCAGGCCUAACACAUGCAAGUCGAACGACAUAGUGGCAGACGGGUGAGUAACGCGUGGGAACGUACCCCAAGGUACGGAAUAGCCCCUCGAAAGGGGUGGUAAUACCGUAUGUGACCGUAAGGUGAAAGAUUUAACGCCUUGGGAUCGGCCCGCGUUGGAUUAGCUUGUUGGUGAGGUAACGGCUCACCAAGGCGACGAUCCAUAGCUGGUUUGAGAGAAUGACCAGCCACACUGGGACUGAGACACGGCCCAGACUCCUACGGGAGGCAGCAGUGGGGAAUCUUGCACAAUGGGCGAAAGCCUGAUGCAGCCAUGCCGCGUGAAUGAUGAAGGCCUUAGGGUUGUAAAAUUCUUUCACCAGGGAAGAUAAUGACUGUACCUGGAGAAGAAGCCCCGGCUAACUUCGUGCCAGCCGCCGCGGUAA
rnacentral:rRNA from 1 species